AGCAUUGGAGGAUAUAGCUGGGUCGCCCCCCUCCUAAGGGGAAGGUCGCCCGUUCGAAUCGGGCCGGGGUCACCA
rnacentral:tRNA from 1 species